AUGAGCUUCAGCUUUCUCUGUUGUGUGGCCUUUUGCCUCCUGCAGGCAGGUCUAGGGAAUGCUGGCAUCACUCAGACUCCUAUGUCCCGGGUCCUAAAAACAGGCCAGCACAUGACACUGAGCUGUGUCCAGCAGGCGAAUCAUGACCUCAUGUACUGGUACCGACAGGAUCCAGGACUGGAGUUGAGACUCAUCUAUUACUCAUAUGAUACAAACAUCACUGUAAAAGGAGAAGUCUCUGAUGGGUACAGUGUGUCCAGACCAAAUAGAGAGAGCUUCCCCCUCACUGUGCUGUCGGCCAGCCCCUCUCAGACAUCUGUAUACUUCUGUUCCAGCUGUGAUUCCACAGUGCUUCAAAGCUGCCUCUGCUCUGCACAUUAA